rnacentral:ncRNA from 17 species
GAUCAAUUUUAACAUUCUUCUCGUGGUGGGUACGCGCAUGGGCAUGACGGUGUGACCGUCAGGCAAUAGCCUCCCAUGCGCGACAGACAGGCUCCUUCCAGGGGCCUUUUUUUAUGGCCAAAA